rnacentral:rRNA from 1 species
UACGUAGGGGGCUAGCGUUGUCCGGUAUUAUUGGGCGUAAAGAGCGUGUAGGCGGCCGAGUAAGUCCGACGUGAAAUCUGGAGGCUCAACCUCCAGCGGUCGUUGGAAACUACUCGGCUAGAGUCCGGAAGAGGAGAGUGGAAUUCCUGGUGUAGCGGUGAAAUGCGCAGAUAUCAGGAAGAACACCGAUGGCGAAAGCAGCUCUCUGGGACGGUACUGACGCUGAGACGCGAAAGCGUGGGGAGCGAACAGG